rnacentral:rRNA from 1 species
GGAUUAGAUACCCUGGUAGUCCAUGCCGUAAACGGUGGGCGCUAGGUGUGAGUCCCUUCCACGGGGUUCGUGCCGUAGCUAACGCAUUAAGCGCCCCGCCUGGGGAGUACGGCCGCAAGGCUAAAACUCAAAGGAAUUGACGGGGGCCCGCACAAGCGGCGGAGCAUGUGGAUUAAUUCGAUGCAACGCGAAGAACCUUACCUGGGCUUGACAUACACCAGAUCGGGCCAGAGAUGGUCUUUCCCUUUGUGGUUGGUGUACAGGUGGUGCAUGGUUGUCGUCAGCUCGUGUCG